GAGGUCUGAUUCUACAUGUUUCUGGUGAAAGAAAUGCUUUUCCUGUGUUACAAGCCCCACCUUCAGUUAUUAAAAAAAACAGCAGGGAAGCAGACAUGUGGCAGAGGAGCUUGCUAUUCCAAACAACAUAAUUGAUCAUUUAAAGGACCAUCUGGAAAACUUGCCUACAGAUAAACUGCUGAUUAAGGCUACAGGAUGUUUAACACUUAACCACAAUACUACACAAUUAUCACACAACUUGCAGGGAAAUGGGCACAGUAGCAUCAGCAGUUAUUGGUUCACCCUUUAGUAUUGCUUCACACCAUGGGCUUAAAUGUUCAGAUUUGGUUUUCACUUUGCCUGGCUAAAUGGAUUGUUCUACUGUAUUUUGCAUUAUGAACCCAACAAAAGGUCUCUCACGCCACUGGUAUCAGUGCUUAUGGGAUUAUGUUCUCUUAAAUCAUUUAAUAUUAUGGAGGUUCAUUCUUGCAGAUUUAGAGUAUACAGUGAAUUGAAAGCAGCUCACCUUUGGUUUUUAACAAAAGCAACUAUUUAAUGACUCACUGAGUGGAAAUGUAUGAUUACUUUCCCCUAAAUGAAGUAUUCCAGUUGAGAGCAAUUCCUCAAAAUUAAGGUUUGAUUCAGCAAGGUAUUUAAGCAUUUGUAACUUUAAACAUAGGAGUAGUUCCAUUCCAUGGGGACUGCUCACGUGCUGAAGUACCUGUAUCAGCCCCUGCUUGAACAAAAUUCCCAAACUUUCUUAUGCUAUGUCUACACUAGUGGGUUUAGAGUGGCACAGCUGUACCGAUGCAGCUGCGCUGCUGUAAAAUCUUGCGUGUAGCCAAUCUAUGCUGACAAGAGAGACCUCUCUGGUCGACAUAAUAAAACAACCUCAAAGAGUUGCCAUAGCUAUGUUGGUGUUUUUUUCACACCCCUGAAUGACAU